CACGAAAGCUGGCGGCAGGCUUAACACAUGCAAGUCGAGCGCCCCGCAAGGGGAGCGGCAGACGGGUGAGUAACGCGUGGGAAUCUACCCAUCUCUACGGAAUAACGCAUGGAAACGUGUGCUAAUACCGUAUACGUCCUUCGGGAGAAAGAUUUAUAGGAGAUGGAUGAGCCCGCGUUGGAUUAGCUAGUUGGUGGGGUAAAGGCCUACCAAGGCGACGAUCCAUAGCUGGUCCGAGAGGAUGAUCAGCCAAACUGGGACUGAGACACGGCCCAGACUCCUACGGGGGGCAGCAGUGGGGGAUAUUGGACAAUGGGCGCAAGCCUGAUCCAGCCAUGCCUCGGGAGUGAUGAAGGCCCUAGGGUUGUAAAGCUCUUUCACCGGUGAAGAUAAUGACGGUAACCGGAGAAGAAGCCCCGGCUAACUUCGUGCCAGCCGCCGCGGUAAUAC
rnacentral:rRNA from 1 species